rnacentral:rRNA from 1 species
UUCUCCUGGGAAACGGGUGGUAAUGCCGGAUGCUCCGACUCCUCGCAUGGGGUGUCGGGAAAGAUUUCAUCGGUAUGGGAUGGGGUCGCGUCCUAUCAGGUAGUCGGCGGGGUAACGGCCCACCGAGCCUACGACGGGUAGCCGGCCUGAGAGGGCGACCGGCCACAUUGGGACUGAGAUACGGCCCAGACUCCUACGGGAGGCAGCAGUGGGGAAUAUUGCACAAUGGGCGCAAGCCUGAUGCAGCGACGCCGCGUGCGGGAUGACGGCCUUCGGGUUGUAAACCGCUUUUGAUCGGGAGCAAGCCUUCGGGUGAGUGUACCUUUCGAAUAAGCACCGGCUAACUACGUGCCAGCAGCCGCGGUAAUACGUAGGGUGCAAGCGUUAUCCGGAAUUAUUGGGCGUAAAGGGCUCGUAGGCGGUUCGUCGCGUCCGGUGUGAAAGUCCAUCGCUUAACGGUGGAUCUGCGCCGGGUACGGGCGGGCUGGAGUGCGGUAGGGGAGACUGGAAUUCCCGGUGUAACGGUGGAAUGUGUAGAUAUCGGAAAGAACACCAACC